UUCGUAGGCGGUCAUGUAAGUCAGGGGUGAAAUCUAGCGGCUUAACCGUUAAACUGCCCUUGAAACUGCCUGACUUGAGGACAUGAGAGGAAAGCGGAAUUCUCGGUGUAGCGGUGAAAUGCGUGGAUAUCGAGAGGAACACCAGUGGCGUAGGCGGCUUUCUGGCAUGUUUCUGACGCUGAGGAACGAAAGCCAGGGGAGCGAACGGGAUUAGAUACCCCGGUAGUCCUGGCCGUAAACUAUGGGCACUAGGUGUGGGAGGUAUCGACCCCUUCCGUGCCGCAGCUAACGCAUUAAGUGCCCCGCCUGGGGAGUACGGCCGCAAGGUUGAA
rnacentral:rRNA from 1 species